rnacentral:rRNA from 1 species
ACUCCUGCGGGAGGCAGCAGUGGGGAAUAUUGCACAAUGGGCGCAAGCCUGAUGCAGCCAUGCCGCGUGUAUGAAGGAGGCCUUCGGGUUGUAAAGUACUUUCAGCGGGGAGGAAGGCGAUAAGGUUAAUAACCUUGUCGAUUGACGUUACCCGCAGAAGAAGCACCGGCUAACUCCGUGCCAGCAGCCGCGGUAAUACGGAGGGUGCAAGCGUUAAUCGGAAUUACUGGGCGUAAAGCGCACGCAGGCGGUCUGUCAAGUCGGAUGUGAAAUCCCCGGGCUCAACCUGGGAACUGCAUUCGAAACUGGCAGGCUAGAGUCUUGUAGAGGGGGGUAGAAUUCCAGGUGUAGCGGUGAAAUGCGUAGAGAUCUGGAGGAAUACCGGUGGCGAAGGCGGCCCCCUGGACAAAGACUGACGCUCAGGUGCGAAAGCGUGGGGAGCAAACAGGAUUAGAAACCCCAGUAGUCCCAU